rnacentral:sRNA from 1 species
ACCUCCCGCCUAGCGGGAGGUUCAAAAAAACUUAAAGUUUUGAGCAAGUAAGAAAAACUCCUUUUGAUUUGUCAGCAUUGGCCUGCGGUCUGGCAACUGUGGUCACUAACAAAUCAAAAG